rnacentral:rRNA from 1 species
UUAUUUAUUUAAUUAUUAUUAUUUUUAUUUUAAUAAUUUAUUUAUAAAAAUAAUUUAAAUAUUUUUUGUUUUAGUAUUAAUUAAAAAUUAAUUUUAAGUUUUAUAGUUUAUUAGUAUUGUAAAAGAAAUUUUUAAAUUUUUUUAAGAAUAAAUUUUUAGUACCUUUUGUAUCAGGGUUAAUUAAAAUUUUUAAUUUAUAUAUUAAUUUCUCAAAAUUUAUAGAGUUAGAUUUAUUAUUUAAGUUAUUGUUUUAUAAAUAUUUAUAAAAUAAGUCUGGAUUUGAUAUUUAAUUCGUUAUAAAAUAUUUAGUUAUUUAAGAUUUAAAUUUAAUUUAAAAUUUUAAAAGUUAUUUUAAUAUAAAUUAGAAUUAUUUUAAAAUUAAAUUAUUUUAGGGAUAAGCUUAAAAUUUAUAUAUAAUUUUAUUUUUUUUUUAUAAUUUUUAGGAAUAGUAAUUUUUAUUUUAAGUUUGUAAAAAUUUAUUAUUUAAUUUAUUUAAAUUUAUUAUAUUUAUUUAUUUUUAAUAUUAAAUUUUAUAAAUUAAUUAUUAAUUUAUAGUAAUAAUGAUUAAAUUAGUAUAGUUUUUAAUUUAUAAAUUAUGAAUUCGGCAAUUUAUAUUUUCAUCUGUUUAACAAAAACAUUGUAUUAAGUUUUAUUUAAUAUAUAAUCUGCUCAAUGAUUUUAAGAUUAAAUAGCUGCAGUAUAUUGACUGUGCAAAGGUAGCAUAAUAAUUAGUCUUUUAAUUGGGGACUAGUAUGAAAGAUUUUAUGAAAAAUAAACUUUAUUAUUUAUAAAAUUAAAAUUUUAUUUUUAAGUAAAAAAGCUUAAAUUUUUUUAAGGGACGAUAAGACCCUAUAAAACUUUAUAAUAUAUUAAUUUUAAUUUUUUUGUAAAUUAUUUAAUUAAAUUUAUUUUAUUAUUUUAUUGGGGUGAUAAAAAAAAAAUAAUAACUUUUUUUAAAUUUUAACAUUAAUUUUUGAUUUGUUUGAAUUAAUAUUUUUAAUUAUAGGAAAAAGUUACUUUAGGGAUAACAGCGUAAUUAGUUUUUAAAGUUCAAAUUUAAAAAUUAGUUUGCGACCUCGAUGUUGAAUUAAGAAAAAUUUUAGGUGCAAAAUUUUAAAUUUUAGGUCUGUUCGACCUUUAAAUUCUUACAUGAUUUGAGUUCAAACCGGUGUAAGCCAGGUUGGUUUCUAUCUUUAAAAAUUUAUAUUAUUUUAGUACGAAAGGAUUAAAUAAUUAAAUUAAAUUUUUAUUAUUGAAUUAAAUUAAAAUAAAUUUU